rnacentral:rRNA from 1 species
AUUGAACGCUGGCGGCAGGCUUAACACAUGCAAGUCGAGCGGAGCGAGGGUGCUUGCACCUUAGCUUAGCGGCGGACGGGUGAGUGAUGCUUAGGAAUCUGCCUAUUAGUGGGGGACAACAUUCCGGAAGGAAAGCUAAUACCGCAUACGCCCUACGGGGGAAAGCAGGGGAUCUUCGGACCUUGCGCUAAUAGAUGAGCCUAAGUCGGAUUAGCUAGUUGGUGGGGUAAAGGCCUACCAAGGCGACGAUCUGUAGCGGGUCUGAGAGGAUGAUCCGCCACACUGGGACUGAGACACGGCCCAGACUCCUACGGGAGGCAGCAGUGGGGAAUAUUGGACAAUGGGCGGAAGCCUGAUCCAGCCAUGCCGCGUGUGUGAAGAAGGCCUUUUGGUUGUAAAGCACUUUAAGCGAGGAGGAGGCUACUUAGAUUAAUACUCUGGGAUAGUGGACGUUACUCGCAGAAUAAGCACCGGCUAACUCUGUGCCAGCCGCCGCCGCAGUAAC